GGGGCGGCCAGGUAGGCGGCGCGGUGGCGCGCUGGAGCUCAGCGGUAGCCCGCUCCGGGCUCAGUGAGUCUUACCGACUGCGCAGCGCGGGCCGUGGAGGUGCGUGCGGAGCUGAAGAAGGUGAAGAGGGCAGAUUCAGGUAGCGUCAGGUAGCUGCGAGGCUCUAACUCAAGCGACUGCUGGCAUUUCAGGUGCGCCACCGACCCCCGGGCGUCCUUUCCCAGGGUGGCGACCUCGGGGGACGCGUCAGGUAGCUCAGGUGUUGGCUGAAUUUUUACGCACCUGCAUUUCAGACAAAACGGUAGAUUUCGUUUUCAAUGUCUUGCCUCCAGUACUUUAUCCAAGUCAUUUUGUGUGCUAGAAGGAAAAAAGGGACAACAAAGGACGGUGAAAAAAGUCCGAUCUCUUUUGUUGACUAAAGAGAAAAAGAAAAAUGUUAAGAGGGGAAAGGAGUCCGAGAGGUGAUUUUCGCUGCCGUACUUCCAAUGUUGCCUUGACUUGCUGUUUUUUAUUGCACUACUUAACAUUUUUUCUUAAUCCGGUUUACAUAGCUUUUAGAAUUUGCUUUUUAGUUUUGCACCUUGGGCCUGGUGGCUUAAAAAAAAAAGUAUAGUAAAUAGUAAUGCUUUAUGAAACGAUUUCAAGGAAGAAAGCAUUCUUUACAGUUCAGGGGUUUAAAAAUUCCUUCGUGACAUUUUGGGAAGAGGUCAAAAGUUCAGACUCUAAAAGCGAAGUCGCCUUUUCGUUACCCACGGUUGCUAUGAUGCCUUCCUCUGAAGGAUUAGCUUUUACCUGCUAGUGUGUCUUAUAUGUGCAUGACAAAUUUAUAGAAUUUUCAAUUUUGUUGUGUUUUGUCUAUUUUUGUAUAGCAGAGAUUUUUAAAAAGCUGUCCUUGAAUAGACAAAAAGCAGCUUGCAUCUUGUUGGUUUUGUAACCUGUGCUGCAUUUCAAAAGAUGCUUUAAUUCUCCUCCACCGCCACCUCCUCCUUUUUUUCUUUUUCUUUUCAUUUUAGUUUAGCAGAACCAUCAGUUGCCUUCAUGUAAUUAAGCUGCUUAGUAAAGGGGCUGAGGUUAAUACUUCUGAGACUUGAUGUGCUCUUAUACUUGUGGGACUUUAACACUUUAGGAAGAAUAUGUAUAUAUAUUCGUAUUUCUGCACUGUAUAUAUUUUCCUACAGCAUUUUAAUAGUUUGAGACUUGUCUUCAUACUUUUUUUGCGUUUUAUAUUGAAAAUGUUCAAAUAUUAUAUACAAAAGUAGUAUAAUAUAAAAACAGUAUACUGAAACCUUCAAGGACCCAUUAUCCAACUUCCAAAUGUAUCAGUGGCCUUGCCAAUCUUAUUUCAUCCACCCUCACACCACCAUUCUGAAAUCUCAAAUAUGCAACUAUGAUAACAUUUGCAAAUAUUUUAGCAUGAUCAUUUUUUUUUCCAUUUCAGCAGAAUUUAUAAACCUAUAGGGAUUCAUGAUCUCUCAUACUAACCAAAGAGAAAUAUUUUGGCAGUUUUUAAAGAUUCCAAAUUGCUGUAGUUGACUGUUACCUUGAUCUGAUCUGGGUAGGUUGAGGGCGCUAUCUCAAGCUAACUGUCCUCUGAUGGGGCUUGCUUUGGCUAUUUUAGUAUUGGCUCAAUCCUUAGUUUCAUCCUAGGAAGCAA
rnacentral:lncRNA from 1 species